UACAGAGGGGGCAAGCGUUGUUCGGAAUUACUGGGCGUAAAGGGCGCGUAGGCGGCCUGCUAAGUCGAACGUGAAAUCCCUGGGCUCAACCCAGGAACUGCGUCCGAUACUGGUUGGCUUGAAUCCGGGAGAGGGAUGCGGAAUUCCAGGUGUAGCGGUGAAAUGACGUAGAUAUCUGGAGGAACACCGGUGGCGAAGGCGGCAUCCUGGACCGGCAUUGACGCUGAGACGCGAAAGCGUGGGGAGCGAACAGGA
rnacentral:rRNA from 1 species